ACCUAGCUUAGCACCUCCAUCACCACCUCCAACCCACCCUAUCCCAAGUGAAAGCCAUUUCUGGUUGUCAGUAGAACCAUCAUAGUGGACUUACCCCAGGCCCACCUUGCAUGCCCACUGAUUCUUACCACUUCAACACACACCAGUAUGACUUCUAACCCAGCAUAUCCAUAUGUCGUUCCCUGAGGGCUUUUUCUGGCUCACAUUGGAAGCCCAUGUUGUCAUCCCAUUUGGCAAACCAGUAGGGGCAGGCAUUUAACCCC
rnacentral:lncRNA from 10 species